rnacentral:rRNA from 1 species
UACGAAGGGGGCUAGCGUUGCUCGGAAUCACUGGGCGUAAAGCGCACGUAGGCGGAUCGUUAAGUCGGAGGUGAAAUCCUGGAGCUCAACUCCAGAACUGCCUUCGAUACUGGCGAUCUUGGAGUCCGGGAGAGGUGAGUGGAACUCCGAGUGUAGAGGUGAAAUUCGUAGAUAUCGGGAGGAACACCGGUGGCGAAGGCGGCGACCUGGGUCGAGACUGACGCUGAGGCGCGAAAGCGUGGGGAGCAAACAGG